rnacentral:ncRNA from 2 species
GCUCCGACAGCAGCCCCAGGAAAUACGGGAAUGGUUCAGGGACCAAGUUCUGGUAAUACUUCGUCAUCAAGUCACAGCAAAGCCUCUAAUGCUGCUGUAAAAUUGGCAGAAAGCAAAAAAUUGCAAAUUCAAGAAAAAGCAGCACAAGAGGUAAAAUUGGCCAUCAAGCCAUUUUACCAAAAUAAAGAUAUCACCAAGGAAGAAUAUAAAGAAAUUGUACGGAAAGCAGUAGAUAAAUGUGUACUGCUGGAAUGUUCCAUCCAAAAGAUGUAGCUUCAGAAGCACAGUGAUUGCCCCAGGGUCCAUGAGAUAUUGUUUGUAUUAUGAAGUUGGAGUGCUGUCUACUGAAAUUAUACUCUUAAAUAAAUAUGUAUGUAGUGUGUAAUAUUUUCUAAUAAAUUCUUUUGAUAAACUAA